CCGUUGUUAUCCUUUCUGAAGCUAGUGGUCUUAGGGUCUGCACAGAGCGACCGCAAAGUGGUGCAGUUGCCCUUGCCCCCAUUCAAUAUAGUAAGGCAAAUCCUGGCGCCAUUGCUGUUGGUACCCAGGUGUCGCGAGGUCAGAUUGUUCAGUUUCAAUAUCACAGUCCCCGGUGAGGCAUAACGUGGAGAUUCUGUGAAGCUAUAUGCGAAGACGCCAUUUACGAAAGCCUUGACGUUGACAUCCCUUUCGCACCCUUUGUUGAGAAGCAUCUGCGGGUUCGCCGGGGGAACGCUGUUAACGCUAAAUGUUCUGUGUCAUGAAGACAACCAGGC
rnacentral:lncRNA from 1 species